rnacentral:rRNA from 1 species
UACGGAGGGGACUAGCGUUGUUCGGAAUUACUGGGCGUAAAGCGCACGUAGGCGGAUUUGUAAGUCAGGGGUGAAAUCCUGGAGCUCAACUCCAGAACUGCCUUUGAUACUGAGGAUCUUGAGUUCGGGAGAGGUGAGUGGAACUGCGAGUGUAGAGGUGAAAUUCGUAGAUAUUCGCAAGAACACCAGUGGCGAAGGCGGCUCACUGGCCCGAUACUGACGCUGAGACGCGAAAGCGUGGGGAGCAAACAGG